rnacentral:rRNA from 1 species
AUUGAACGCUGGCGGCAGGCCUAACACAUGCAAGUCGAGCGGGGUUUUCGGACCUAGCGGCGGACGGGUGAGUAAUGCGUAGGAAGCUACCCGAUAGAGGGGGAUACCAGUUGGAAACGACUGUUAAUACCGCAUAAUGUCUACGGACCAAAGUGUGGGACCUUCCGGCCACAUGCUAUCGGAUGCGCCUACGUGGGAUUAGCUAGUUGGUGGGGUAAUGGCUUACCAAGGCGACGAUCCCUAGCUGGUUUGAGAGGAUGAUCAGCCACACUGGAACUGAGACACGGUCCAGACUCCUACGGGAGGCAGCAGUGGGGAAUAUUGGACAAUGGGCGCAAGCCUGAUCCAGCCAUGCCGCGUGUGUGAAGAAGGCCUUCGGGUUGUAAAGCACUUUCAGUAGGGAGGAAGGGUGUUGUGUUAAUAGCACAGCAUUUUGACGUUACCUACAGAAGAAGCACCGGCUAACUCUGUGCCAGCCGCCGCGGUAAAAC